rnacentral:lncRNA from 1 species
GAAGAGUAGAAGACAGGGAAUCCAGAAGAAGGAUUCCGACCAGGGAAUAUGGACAGGUUGUUAGUUCGGCACAAGCAGCACUUGAAAACCCUGUGAGACAUCAAGGAGAUGUACAAGGCUGAUAAAAUGACUUCAAUGGUUACAAGGCAUUCAGCCACAUUUUUGCCUGAUUUCUCCUGCUGUGAGUCACCUGGUGAUCAAUAGCUGUUCUAGUUCCAGGCAACAAAUUACUUCACGGCGGGACUGUUCAAACCAGUCCAUAAAUAAAUGUUAGCUAAUGAUGGAAAUCAAUCAAUCAGUUCAU